GCCGGAAUAGCUCAGUUGGGAGAGCGUUAGACUGAAGUUGUUUACGCAACAGUCAUCUUAAGGCCCCACAAUUCAAUACCGGGUUCCGGCA
rnacentral:tRNA from 1 species